rnacentral:misc_RNA from 1 species
GAUGAAGAACGUAGCGAAAUGCGAUAAGUAAUGUGAAUUGCAGAAUUCAGUGAAUCAUCGAAUCUUUGAACGCACCUUGCACCCUUUGGCAUUCCGAAGGGUAUGCUCGUUUGAGUGUCAUUGUACUCUCACUCUCCCGAUGCUUUUGGAUCGGGAGUGGUGGACUUGGGUGUUGCUGCUUUGCUGUGGCUCGCCUCAAAUGGAGUAGUGCAACUCUUGGUUGGACAUAGUACGGCGUGAUAAGUGUCUUCGCCGGCGCCUCAUUAUAGAGGGUGGCCGAUCGGGAGCCCUGUGCUUCAAACCGUCUUCGGACAACAUCUGACAACUUGACCUCAAAUCGAGUAGGACUACCCGCUGAACUUAAGCAUAUCAAUAAGCGGAGGA